rnacentral:misc_RNA from 1 species
GAUGAAGAACGCAGCGAAAUGCGAUAAGUAGUGUGAAUUGCAGAAUUCAGUGAAUCAUCGAAUCUUUGAACGCACAUUGCGCCCCUUGGUAUUCCAUGGGGCAUGCCUGUUCGAGCGUCAUUUGUACCUUCAAGCUCUGCUUGGUGUUGGGUGUUUGUCCUUGCUCUAGUGGCGGGACUCGCCUUAAAGUAAUUGGCAGCCAGUGUUUUGGUUUUGAAGCGCAGCACAAGUCGCGAUUCAAGUCUAUACGCUAGUUUCCACAAGUCUUUUAUCACUUUUGACCUCGGAUCAGGUAGGGAUACCCGCUGAACUUAAGCAUGUCAAUAAGCGGAGGA